rnacentral:rRNA from 2 species
GGAGUUUUGAAAAGCUUGCUUUUCAAAACUUAGCGGCGGACGGGUGAGUAACACGUGGGCAACCUGCCCUUGAGACGGGGAUAACUCCGGGAAACCGGAGCUAAUACCGGAUAACACAUAUCUUCGCAUGAAGAUAUGUUAGAAGGUGGCUUUUAGCUACCACUCAAGGAUGGGCCCGCGGCGCAUUAGCUAGUUGGUGAGGUAACGGCUCACCAAGGCGACGAUGCGUAGCCGACCUGAGAGGGUGAUCGGCCACACUGGGACUGAGACACGGCCCAGACUCCUACGGGAGGCAGCAGUAGGGAAUCUUCCGCAAUGGACGAAAGUCUGACGGAGCAACGCCGCGUGAGUGAUGAAGGUUUUCGGAUCGUAAAGCUCUGUUGUUAGGGAAGAACAAGUACCUGUUGAAUAAGCAGGUACCUUGACGGUACCUAACCAGAAAGCCACGGCUAACUACGUGCCAGCAGCCGCGGUAAUACGUAGGUGGCAAGCGUUGUCCGGAAUUAUUGGGCGUAAAGCGCGCGCAGGCGGUUCCUUAAGUCUGAUGUGAAAGCCCACGGCUCAACCGUGGAGGGUCAUUGGAAACUGGGGAACUUGAGUGCAGAAGAGGAGAGCGGAAUUCCACGUGUAGCGGUGAAAUGCGUAGAGAUGUGGAGGAACACCAGUGGCGAAGGCGGCUCUCUGGUCUGUAACUGACGCUGAGGCGCGAAAGCGUGGGGAGCGAACAGGAUUAGAUACCCUGGUAGUCCACGCCGUAAACGAUGAGUGCUAAGUGUUAGAGGGUUUCCGCCCUUUAGUGCUGCAGCAAACGCAUUAAGCACUCCGCCUGGGGAGUACGGUCGCAAGACUGAAACUCAAAGGAAUUGACGGGACCCGCACAGCGGUGGAGCAUGUGGUUUAUUCGAAGCAACGCGAGAAUCUUACGAGUCGUG